UGUCCUGAUCCUGAAAUCUGCUCCUACAUUCAUCCCAGUCAUCAGUCACAUAGACGGUGUCUUGUCCUGCUCCUGAAAUCUGCUCCUACAUUCAUCCCAGUCAUCAGUCACAUAGAGGGUGUCUUGUCCUGCUCCUGAAAUCUGCUCCUACAUUCAUCCCAGUCAUCAGAAACAGAGCAUUGGGGUAGCUGCAUGUCUGACAUCCAAUGUACGCAAUUACAAUGAGAAUUUUAAAAUGGUUAGGUGGCCAUGGUGUAAUAAAAUGUUUUGCCUCGUGUGGUUGGUUUUGUGGGCUUUGACACUUUUAUGUAGGUGUCAUAACCAGCCAUACAAUAACAACUGUUGUGGGUUUUGACACUUAUGUAGGUGUUAUAACCAGACAUUAAAUAAUGCAAUGUGUGUCACAACAGGUCUAAAUGUGUUUCAUGACAAGUUGUGAGCGGCAGGUUGGGCCGGUAACCGAAAGGUUGCUAGAUGGAAUCCCCCGAGCUGACAAGGUAAAAAUCUGUUGUUCUGCCCCCUGACAACAAUGCAGUUUAACCCACUGUUCCCCUGAGAACAAGGUAGUUUAACCCACUGUUCCCCUGAGAACAAGGCAGUUUAACCCACUGUUCCCCUGAGAACAAGGCAGUUUAACCCACUGUUCCCCUGAACAAGGCAGUUUAACCCACAGUUCCCUGAGAACAAGGCAGUUAACCCACUGUUCCCCUGAGAACAAGGCAGUUUAACCCACUGUUCCCCUGAGAACAAGGUAGUUUAACCCACUGUUCCCCUGAACAAGGCAGUUUAACCCACUGUUCCCCUGAGAACAAGGUAGUUUAACCCACUGUUCCCCUGAGAACAAGGUAGUUUAACCCACUGUUCCCCUGAACAAGGCAGUUUAACCCACUGUUCCCCUGAGAACAAGGCAGUUUAACCCACUGUUCCCCUGAGAACAAGGUAGUUUAACCCACUGUUCCCCUGAACAAGGCAGUUUAACCCACUGUUCCCCUGAGAACAAGGCAGUUUAACCCACUGUUCCCCUGAGAACAAGGCAGUUUAACCCACUGUUCCCCCGAGAACAAGGCAGUUAACCCACUGUUCCCCUUCUAAGCCGUCAUUGUAAAUAAUAAUUUGUUCUUAACUGACUUGCCUGGUUAAAUAAAUAAAUAAAUGAAAUGUCAUCUUUUAUGACAAUACGUAUUAUGAUGCUGGGAGUCAAAUGUCAUCACCAUUUGGAUAUUAGAGCGAUGAUGUCAGUCACACCAGAUUGUCUUUGUCUGUCUGUCUGCAACACGGAGCUUCUCAAAUCAUGUUACUGUUCCUGCCAAAAGGAACUGUCCGUCCGUCCUUCUGUGACACUGUGGGCUUCUCAGAUAGAGAUGUGACACUGUGGGCUUCUCAGAUAGAGAUGUGACACUGUGGGCUUCUCAGAUAGAGAUGUGACAUUGUGAGCUUCUCAGAUAGAGAUGUGACACGGUGAGCUUCUUCGAUAGAGACGUGACACUGUGAGCUUCUCAGAUAGAGAUGUGACACGGUGAGCUUCUUCGAUAGAGACGUGACACUGUGAGCUUCUCAGAUAGAGAUGCAAUUUUUGGGGGGGGUUUAAUUGACAAGAACUGUGACCACAUGACGCGAUGGACACACGUUAGAAUGUUACCAAAUACUGUUACAUGUUCUGCCAAUCAGGUCUGUUCUCUUCUCAGGCCCUCCUCUCUGUUUCAUCCUGGCACCAACAUAUAUCCCUACGGUCCUACACUGUGGAGUGAGUCCUGUCUACUGAGGCGAUGUUAUGUCACUAUUAGAUCAAUUACAUUUGAUUGAUGUGUUUUGUGUUGCUCAUUAGUGUUAUGAGAGAGUGAUGUGUUUGUAUUGCUCAUUAGUGUUAUGAGAGAAUGAUGUGUUUGUGUUGCUCAUUAGUGUUAUGAGAGAAUGAUGUGUUUUGUGUUGCUCAUUAGUGUUAUGAGAGAAUGAUGUGUUUGUGUUGCUCAUUAGUGUUAUGAGAGAAUGAUGUGUUUUGUGUUGCUCAUUAGUGUUAUGAGAGAAUGAUGUGUUUGUGUUGCUCAUUAGUGUUAUGAGAGAAUGAUGUGUUUGUGUUGCUCAUUAGUGUUAUGAGAGAGUGAUGUGUUUUGUGUUGCUCAGUAGUGUUAUGAGAGAAUGAUGUGUUUGUGUUGCUCAUUAGUGUUAUGAGAGGAUGAUGUGUAUUCUAAGCUUUUACCCAAAGAACUUUCACUUCACACCUUUUUACAAGCUGGAGGCUUGUAUUUUUCAUAUUUUCUGUAUGUAUUUUCUAUGUAUUGCUUUUGUAUACAACACAGACUGUAUUACUACAGUAUUAGUGUUUUUUAUGAUUUAUUACGAUUUCAGGAUGAUCAUCUAUAAACAUCAGGGAACCAUGUUUAGUUUAGAAUGCUGGUUUAUUAUUGUAUUAAAUAAAACAUUUGAGUUUGUAUGAUAAACGUCUGAACUACCAUUCCCCUGCUGUGAGUUUAAUGUGUCAACUGUACCAGGAUCCUGGAAAGAAAUGAAACCCUUUAACUUUCAAUAUAUUUACCAAGAACUGGACAAAAGAUGGGAAAACAACCGCUAGAUUGUAACUGUGCGUAAAGUAAAGUUGUGAGGCUUUAGCUCUUAAAUGUUUUUCGUGGAAGAAGUUUCUGAUUUUAGAUUUGAAUGGCAGAAAACAUUUGUGGAAGAUUUUCAUACUCGUCUAACUUGUUGGGAAAGUGGUCAGAAUGUCCUUUCAAACAGUCUGGAAGAAAAGCAGUUGGUUCGCUUCCUCAAACAGGUGGUGGCAUUCUUGAUCGGUAAAAGUUAUUUUCGUUCUGAUUUUGAGAUUUCAGUAGCGGAGAGGAGGAUGUCAGACCUUCUAGCACGUCCAACCUGUUGGGGGAAGUGGACCAAGCUGUUUUGUGUCAAAAGUCACAAUAGCCUGAAAAGUUGACACACAACUCGUCACACAGCCUGACACUCAGCCCGACACUCAGCCCGACACUCAGCCUGACACUCAACCCGACACUCAACCCGACACUCAAC
ensembl:lncRNA